rnacentral:rRNA from 1 species
CUGAGGACCCGAAAGGUCGAAGGGAGAAAUUCAUUCGUGUAUCGUUAUUGACUAGACUUUUGUAUGUUUGACAACACGUAAGUUUGAUCAUCUUUUUGGUGGUUUUAAAUUUAUAUGUUGCUACUUAUAUGUCUAAUGCCUGAUAAUGAACGCGUGCAUUUUUCUUCUGGUAGGACGUUGCGAUCCGUUAGAAAUAUUAUCGAUCUAUGAUUUAUGGUUUUAGUUCAUUGAUACAUUUUAUUAUGAUAAUAUUAAUGAUACUGUAAAAUCUGAUUGAUUUGUCUGACGGUAGAUGAAAGGUUAAGAGUCACUAUUAUAAUUAGUGUUAGAGAUUAGACAAAUGUUUAAAUUGUGUAAAGACAUUGUUAACUAUUUAUAGUAACAGUGUUCUCGGCAAUCAAUAUUUAUAUUAAUUCCGAGCCAUUUAUAUAUUGUUAGUUUAAUAUAUCUCUGACAGACUUUAUUAUUUUAUAUAAAACCAAUCAGCAACGCUAUAGCUUUGGGUAACUUCAGGACCCGUCUUGAAACACGGACCAAGGAGUYUAGCAUGUACGCAAGCCAUUGGGAUUAAAACCUAUAGGCAAAAUGAAAGUGAAAGUCAAUUUGUCUUGUACAAAUUGAACGGGAAGAUAAAUAGUAUUUUUUUGAAAUAUUAUUUCGCAUUCCUGGGGCGUUUAUAUUUUGUUUGUAUGUUUUACAUGCAAAUGAGAUUAUGCGCACCAAGAGUGUACACGCUGGGACCCGAAAGAUGGUGAACUAUGCCUGGUCAGGACGAAGUCAGGGGAAACCCUGAUGGAGGUCCGUAGCGAUUCUGACGUGCAAAUCGAUCGUCGGAAC